AAUAGGCUGUCACUUUCCAUCCUUGACUUUGGACAAGUCACUUGACCUCCGUUUACUCUUCUCUAUAAAUUGAUUGGUCUAAAUGACCUAUGAUGUCACUUCUACCUCAAAAAUUAUGAUGCUCUGAAUUCCUAAAACCAGGUCACUUUACUGUCUCUUCCUCUCCAACUUCUAACUAGGACUGGUCCUUAUACCUUCUAAAUGGGAUGGAAGAAAAGGGGAAUGAUCCAACUAUAUAGAUUACCAGGGAGAUGGAGCACAACAUCCUUCAGGCACUAUUUGGGUUUUUUGAGAAGAUGCUCCCAAGACUUUUUGCAUGUGCACACUCAAAUGAAGAUCUCCAUAAGACUACCAGAAAACUAAAUCCUGGAGAUAUGGUAUAAAUUGAUGAAGGUAUAACGAUGAGAUAAUAGCAACACUUGAACCCAAGAUUCCUGACUCGCAGUCCCUGCUGCUUUAGACUGGAGACUUCUAAGAUGACCCUAGAGAUACUGAAAGAGGAAUGCUAUAGUCAUUUGAAUUUAUGGAAUAAAUUCAGGCAGGAGUAUAGCAUGGUGUAUAAUGGAAAAUGAACUUGAUUUCAAAGGUAAGUCAAAUCAGAAGCUACUUCUUGUUCAGUAACUCCAGACCUUAGGGAAUCUGCUAGUCAUUGUCACAUUCAUGAAAAUAAAAUCGGAGAUUUAGAAAUCGAAGGACCCCAGAAAUUAUCUAAUCCAAUGCUCUCAUUUUAUAGGCAAGAAAAUGUAGACUCACAAGGUAAAGGAACAAUAAAUAAGCAGGCAUAUGGAUUUGUUCAGAAUUACCCCUAUAUGUAUUCAGCAUUCUUGCUAUGAUGGGAAUGAUUAGAAUCCAGAGCCUGUCUGGGAUGAGGGCAGCUUUCUCACCUUAAAGGACCCUCUGCUUGCUAUAAACAUUGUUGCUGUUGUGCUGAUUUCUUUCUUUCAAUUUUAUCUCAUUUUCUGCCACUUCAAUAGGGCUGUGGCAUAGAAAGAAAUUGGUACGACUAGCCAAACUAGAGUCUGAGGCCAUUCCUGGUUUUAUUUUGGACAAUCUCACAAGUUUGUUCCAUGGUCACUUUGCAGAGAACUUAGUUCCUCUUGAGAUCAGGUGGGUUUUCUUGUCCCCUUUUUCUUGUUCCAUGGAGGUUCCUCAUCCUCCUUACAAACUAGAAUCACUUGAUGCAGACAUGGGGAUGGGGAUGGGGGAGGAGUCUUUUGGACACUUUGGUUUUUAAUCUGUUUAGUCACAGGUUGGUAAGAGUAGUGAAACACAAAAGUUAUAUUUUAAACCCUCAGAUAAUCGAUUCUUAAACUCCACCACUGACCAUCAUCAUGUCAAUGGGGCCAAAGAAGGAAGAUUCAUUUGGAAAGACAUUUUCAUUUUUUAAUUUAUGUAGUCAGUAUUUAUUUUUCAUUUUGCUUGACUAUAUUUAAUUGUUUAUUUUUUAUUAGUUUGUUGCUUACAUUGAAAUUUCCAAGUAUCUCACUCAGAUGCUUUUAUUUUAGCCAUA